rnacentral:rRNA from 1 species
CAAUAGCGUAUAUUAAAGUUGUUGCAGUUAAAAAGCUCGUAGUUGAACUUCGGAACCGGUCGAUUGGUCCGUCCUCUGGAUUGUGUACUGAUCGAUCUGUUCUUCUUCGCGAAGACCGCGUGUGCCCUUAACUGGGUGUGCACGGGAUUCACGACGUUUACUUUGAAAAAUUAGAGUGUUCAAAGCAGGCAUUCGCUUGAAUAUCUCAGCAUGGAAUAAUAGAAUAGGACUUUGGUCUUAUUUUGUUGGUUUCCGAGACCGAAGUAAUGAUUAAUAGGGGCAGUCAGGGGCACUCGUAUUCCGUCGAGAGAGGUGAAAUUCUCAGACCAAUGGAAGACGAACCACUGCGAAAGCAUUUGCCAGGGAUGUUUUCACUGAUCAAGAACGAAAGUUAGGGGAUCGAAGACGAUCAGAUACCGU